UCCGUUGUGGUCUAGUGGUAAGGAUUUACGGCUCUCACCCGUACGGCCCGGGUUCGAUUCCCGGCAACGGAA
rnacentral:tRNA from 1 species